UUGGUGACCAGCGGAGGGUCAUUA
rnacentral:rRNA from 2 species